rnacentral:rRNA from 1 species
CCUACGGGAGGAAACAAUGAGGAAUAUUGGUCAAUGGACGAGAGUCUGAACCAGCCAAGUAGCGUGAAGGAUGACUGCCCUAUGGGUUGUAAACUUCUUUUAUAUGGGAAUAAAACGUUCCACGUGUGGGAUUUUGUAUGUACCAUAUGAAUAAGGAUCGGCUAACUCCGUGCCAGCAGCCGCGGUAAUACGGAGGAUCCGAGCGUUAUCCGGAUUUAUUGGGUUUAAAGGGAGCGUAGGUGGAUUGUUAAGUCAGUUGUGAAAGUUUGCGGCUCAACCGUAAAAUUGCAGUUGAAACUGGCAGUCUUGAGUACAGUAGAGGUGGGCGGAAUUCGUGGUGUAGCGGUGAAAUGCUUAGAUAUCACGAAGAACUCCGAUUGCGAAGGCAGUUCACUGGACUGCAACUGACACUGAGGCUCGAAAGUGUGGGUAUCAAACAGGAUUAGAUACCCGGGUAGUC